CAAUAGCGUAUAUUAAAGUUGUUGCAGUUAAAAAGCUCGUAGUUGGAUUUCUGGUGGGAGCGAUCGGUCUGGCGCUUAGCGCGAGUACUUGCAUCGUCUCCGGCCAUCCUUGGGGAGAGUCUGUCUGGCAUUAGGUUGUCGGGCAGAGGAUCCUCAUCGCUUACUGUGAAAAAAUUAGAGUGUUCAAAGCAGGCUUAUGCCGUUGAAUAUAUUAGCAUGGAAUAAUAAGAUAGGACUUUGGUACUAUUUUGUUGGUUUGCGCACCAAAGUAAUGAUUAAUAGGGACAGUUGGGGGUAUUCGUAUUCCGUUGUCAGAGGUGAAAUUCUUGGAUUUACGGAAGACGAACUACUGCGAAAGCAUUUACCAAGGAUGUUUUCAUUAA
rnacentral:rRNA from 1 species